CAUUUUGUGUGCGGCGGUGAGAGGGGGAGGUUGGGCUGCGGGGCGGUUGGUCGCGCGACGCGUUAUGACUCUGGUUCUCUCCUCGACAAUGGUUCCUCUUGGAGAUGUGUGGGAUGGCUGCGCUCACCCAGCAGAGUGCCACUCCACCCCCAUAUGGCCGUCCUCUGCUGGAGGCUGAGCUCUGCCUGUCCCAGCCCCACAGCCCGGAGCCCCAUCAUGAGGAGCGCUGAGAAUGGAGGUGGAGUGAUUCUAAAGCUGCAGACUGCAGCGAAGACCCGAGAAGGGCCUCAGAGCCUGAGGGCCACGACAUCGCUGUGGGGCGGAGCUCUGUGAAGACAAGGCCGAGGACCCCUUCACCCCACGCUGCUGUUGGGUUAUCCUUUUCAAGCCAAUAAAAACGCAUUUUG
rnacentral:lncRNA from 7 species